AUCCCAUUGAGCACGUCUGGGACCUGUUGGAUCAGAGGGUGAGGACUAGGGCCAUUCCCCCCAGAAAUGUCCGGGGAACUUGCAGGUGCCUUGGUGGAAGAGUGUGGUAACAUCUCACAGCAAGAACUGGCACAUCUGGUGCAGGCCAUGUGGAAUUGAUGCACUGCAGCACUUAAUGCAGCUGGUGGCCACACCAGAUACUGACUGUUACUUUUGAUUUUGACCCCCCCUUUGUUCAGGGAGUGGCCUCUACAAUCUGGACAUCACUGAGCCUAAAUACUUCCUCCAGGGAUUAAUGAGAAAGGGAGGAACAGAGCCUUAUUCUAAAGCAGCAAGGUGUUAGACUGUAUCAACUGGGGGGAGAGAUGGGAUGGGAAACGAGAGCCUUAUUCUAAAGCUGCAAGGUGUUAGACUUUAUCAACUGGGGAGAGAUGGGAUGGGAAACGAGAGCCUUAUUCUAAAGCUGCAAGGUGUUAGACUUUAUCAACUGGGGGAGAGAUGGGAUGGGAAACGAGAGCCUUAUUCUAAAGCAGCAAGGUGUUAGACUUUAUCAACUGGGGAGAGAGAUGGGAUGGGAAACGAGAGCCUUAUUCUAAAGCUGCAAGGUGUUAGACUUUAUCAACUGGGGAGAGAGAUGGGAUGGGAAACGAGAGCCUUAUUCUAAAGCAGCAAGGUGUUAGACUUUAUCAACUGGGGAGAGAGAUGGGAUGGGAAACGAGAGCCUUAUUCUAAAGCAGCAAGGUGUUAGACUUUAUCAACUGGGGGAGAGAUGGGAUGGGAAACGAGAGCCUUAUUCUAAAGCAGCAAGGUGUUAGACUUUAUCAACUGGGGAGAGAGAUGGGAUGGGAAACGAGAGCCUUAUUCUAAAGCAGCAAGGUGUUAGACUUUAUCAACUGGGGAGAGAUGGGAUGGGAAACGAGAGCCUUAUUCUAAAGCAGCAAGGUGUUAGACUUUAUCAACU